rnacentral:tRNA from 1 species
UGGGGUAUAGCUCAGUGGUAGAGCAAUCGACUGCAGAUCGAUAGGUCCAUGGUUCAAAUCCGUGUGCCCCUU